GGACGUGUAGCUCAGAUGGCCAGAGCAGCCGACUCUUAAUCGGCUGGUCGUGGGUUCGACUCCCACCGCGUCCA
rnacentral:tRNA from 1 species